AUGUCUCCAUGGUUAAUGACAGUAAUAUUCUUAAUAGUCGGAAGGACUUGUGGAAUAUCGGUGACCCAGAAGGAAAGCCGCAUAUCUGUGUUGGAAGGGGCUUCCAUGACCAUAGACUGCACUUAUACAGCAACAGGGUACACUUAUCUCUUCUGGUAUGUCCAGUAUCCUGGAGAUGGUCUCCAGCUUCUCCUGAAAGCCAUCACAGCCAAUGAGAAGGGAAGCUAUAAAGGAUUUGAAGCCAGAUAUGACAGAGAAAACACCUCCUUCCACUUGAAGAAAGCUGCAGUCCUAGAGUCAGACUCGGCUGUGUACUACUGUGCUGUGAGUGACACAGUGGCAGAAACCACAGGGGGAGCUGAGCACAAACUGAGGGACAGCAGAGGUCUGGCAGCUGAACAUCUGCCCUUCAGAUUGUUGUGGUUUCAGCACAGUCUUAGGUGUGUGCCUUCACUUACCUCCUGAUCCAAAAUUCCACAAAUGUCAGAGGAAACAGGAAAUGGACAUCACCAUAUUUAGCUGUUCAGUAGUGAACUGAAGAAGACUGGUCUGAUGGAGAGAAAGAUGUGGAAGCUUUUAGGAGUCUCAUUCGUCCUAUCCUGUGUCAGCUGUGCUGUGAGAAGGUGGCUCUGCAGAAGUCAAUAAAACAAGCAGAUUAUGGUAACCUCCUCUAUAUUGUGGAAUUUCACAUUGGAUGGUGGUGCUAUUGUGCUCA